rnacentral:rRNA from 1 species
UACGGAGGAUCCGAGCGUUAUCCGGAUUUAUUGGGUUUAAAGGGAGCGUAGGUGGAUUGUUAAGUCAGUUGUGAAAGUUUGCGGCUCAACCGUAAAAUUGCAGUUGAAACUGGCAGUCUUGAGUACAGUAGAGGUGGGCGGAAUUCGUGGUGUAGCGGUGAAAUGCAUAGAUAUCACACAGAACACCGAUUGCGAAGGCAUCUCACGAAUCCGCUAUUGACGCUGAGGCACGAAAGUGCGGGUAUCGAACAGG